CCCCUCCAGGCGGGCUGGCAUACCAUCCUAUAUCGAGAUCUCAGCUUCUUCAUAAGCUCCCACACGAAUUGCUUGAUUCACUGGUUAGACGAUUGGGUCUGUAGCUCAGUUGGUUAGAGCGCACCCCUGAUAAGGGUGAGGUCGGCAGUUCGAAUCUGCCCAGACCCACCAAUUGUUGGUGUGCUGCGUGAUCCGAUACGGGGCCAUAGCUCAGCUGGGAGAGCGCCUGCUUUGCACGCAGGAGGUCAGGAGUUCGAUCCUCCUUGGCUCCACCAUCUAAAACAAUCGUCGAAAGCUCAGAAAUGAAUGUUCGUGAAUGAACAUUGAUUUCUGGUCUUUGCACCAGAACUGUUCUUUAAAAAUUCGGGUAUGUGAUAGAAGUAAGACUGAAUGAUCUCUUUCACUGGUGAUCAUUCAAGUCAAGGUAAAAUUUGCGAGUUCAAGCGCGAAUUUUCGGCGAAUGUCGUCUUCACAGUAUAACCAGAUUGCUUGGGGUUUUUAUUUGUGUCAGCAAAA
rnacentral:tRNA from 1 species